UGGGGAAUAUUGCACAAUGGGCGCAAGCCUGAUGCAGCCAUGCCGCGUGUAUGAAGAAGGCCUUCGGGUUGUAAAGUACUUUCAGCGGGGAGGAAGGGAGUAAAGUUAAUACCUUUGCUCAUUGACGUUACCCGCAGAAGAAGCACCGGCUAACUCCGUGCCAGCAGCCGCGGUAAUACGGAGGGUGCAAGCGUUAAUCGGAAUUACUGGGCGUAAAGCGCACGCAGGCGGUUUGUUAAGUCAGAUGUGAAAUCCUCGGGCUCAAACUGGGAACUGCAUCUGAUACUGGCAAGCUUGAGUCUCGUAGAGGGGGGUAGAAUUCCAGGUGUAGCGGUGAAAUGCGUAGAGAUCUGGAGGAAUACCGGUGGCGAAGGCGGCCCCCUGGACGAAGACUGACGCUCAGGUGCGAAAGCGUGGGGAGCAAACAGG
rnacentral:rRNA from 1 species